AAAACCUAAAUCCACGCGGGCGAAGUCGCGGGCAUCGGCUAGUAAACAAUAUUUCUUUAAAAUUAAAACUUCGAGCGUAGUUCUUCAUUAUAUCUACAACAUUUUUAAAAAUUAUGUAAAUUGGACUACAUUUAUGGGGAGAAAAACGUUA